rnacentral:lncRNA from 1 species
AAAAUUUGUCCAUAUAUAUAUAAACACCUUCUAAAACCUCAAAUUUUUUAAAAGAUAUUAUUUGAAAGAACAUUUAGUAUUUUUCAAAGCAAAAGUACUAACACUUUACAAUGAUUCUGAAUAAUUGUGACCGUUCGGAUGAUUAUGAAUAAUUGUGACCACUCUAUACUAAAGAUAAAUGAUCUCAUUGUAUACAAUCCCAUGUCGAAAUCUCGUUCAAACAACAAACCAUCCAUAAUAAAUUAUAUAAAAAGCAUGCUUAAUUACACAAUUAGUUAGGGACCUUCUUACUUUCCCAUGCCUAUUUUUUGUUGGGGUAUUUUCAAUUAGGACCCCAACAGCUCAAAUACAUUACAGUCCUCAACGAUUCUUCAGCCUUUCUUCGCUUCUCUUCCCCCACUUUUCUCUUUGCCGAUUCUAAACCAGCAGACCAUCUCCUCAUAUGCGGAGCGGACAGUGCCGAUUCUUUCCCGACAUUCGACUGCAAAGAUCUGGAGGCCAAUUCCUUCCAUUUGGGGCCCUGAUCCUUCAUUCCCCUUAAACUUGCAGCCAUCCACAUCCUACCCAUUUCGCUCAAACUCAUAGUGAUGUGAUAGAGAGAGAAACCCUUUCGCCUGAAACCUUAGAGAGAAGAAGUAAUAGAGAGAGAAACACCUUUCUUCUGUGAUGUGCUGAAGAGAGAGGAUGUUAUAGGUUAGAGAAACUGUUGUCUGAUAAGAGAAAAGAUGUGAGAUGAUGUCGUCUUGAAGAGAGGAAGAGGAGGGGCCACUCAAUUUUAUAGGGAGAGGAUAAAGGUGGUUUUCAUUUCCAGGAGGUGGUUUUGGGAAACAGGAGCUGGUCAAGGGGACAAAAGAAAAAUGAGAUGAGAGCAAUGACACGGCAUUCGUAUUGGAAGGAAUAAAGGGCUCAAUGCUUACGUCAGUAGAAACCGGGUAGGAGCCACUGCCUCUCUCUGGUUUUUCAGAAAACCGAGGGAGAGAAUUAUGGGUGAACGAAAAUCCGGCGCCAGCUCGUACUUGUCCGUCAACCAGCGGCGCGGCCCACCUGUUUCUAGCAAGCUCG